rnacentral:rRNA from 1 species
AUUGAACGCUGGCGGCAUGCUUUACGCAUGCAAGUCGAACGGUAACAGCACUUCGGUGGCUGACGAGUGGCGAACGGGUGGGUAAUACAUCGGAACGUGCCUAGUAGUGGGGGAUAACUACUCGAAAGAGUAGCUAAUACCGCAUGAGAUCUAAGGAUGAAAGCAGGGGACCUUCGGGCCUUGCGCUACUAGAGCGGCUGAUGGCAGAUUAGGUAGUUGGUGGGAUAAAAGCUUACCAAGCCGACGAUCUGUAGCUGGUCUGAGAGGACGACCAGCCACACUGGGACUGAGACACGGCCCAGACUCCUACGGGAGGCAGCAGUGGGGAAUUUUGGACAAUGGGCGCAAGCCUGAUCCAGCAAUGCCGCGUGCAGGAUGAAGGCCUUCGGGUUGUAAACUGCUUUUGUACGGAACGAAAAGCCCUCUUCUAAUACAGGAGGGUCAUGACGGUACCGUAAGAAUAAGCACCGGCUAACUACGUG